rnacentral:ncRNA from 1 species
UAACAAACGGUGAUGGGAAAAGUAAAAGGUGGAUGCUUUACAGAAAACCAGCGGUGAUGGAAGCUGGUAAGAAGAAACCUUUGAAGAUGGUCCUUGAGUUUUGUACCGGUGAGCUUCGAGUCAGCCGGUACCGGGUGCGCCCGUUAAGGCGUUAGGGUAUCUCUUGUAUGGGCGUACCUGUUGAGUAAUUAGUAGUGAUGCUGAUUAAAAUCAGGGUGGUAACACGAUUUCGAUUGUCCCGUAG